GUGGCCUCUAUUUCUCUUUUUUCUCCAAUACAAAUGAAAGCAAAGAAAGCCCUUCAUCUUUCAGUCUGCCUCACCUUCAUUUAUCAUCCCUCACGGUAGUGAUAAUCUCUAUAGAGAUUCAAAGCUAACAGGUCUGUAACUGAUAAGUUCUAGGAUUUUCUUUGAUCUUUAAAGGCGUUUUCUUUAUUUUUUGCCUUCAAACAUUAGUGAUUUGGGAGAAUCCAAGCGCCAAUCAAAAGAGCCCAGCUACUCUGCAGAUAAUCAGUACGUACGUUCACCAUCUUGAGGUCCACCGCGCCAAGAAGAUCUCCUCUCACGAUCCCUUCUAGCCAAAAAAAAAAAAAAAAAAAAAAAAACACUCCUGUGAUAAGAAACAUGGUCUGCAUUGCACUUGCUGAUGACACUUGUGAUUAACCAAAGAUUUGGAUGAAUAAGGUUGUGAGAAACUACCCCAGGGUUAGACUUGGAUAUGUGGUUUCUAUUGAUCAAUGUUCUGAUGUCAAGUAUAGGAAGCGUGUACACAUUCUUCUCAAGGAUGAUGCCAUUGAAGGUAUUACUGGAAACCUGUUUGACACUCACCUAAAAUGUAAGUUUCUAGAUAAUAUAAACUUGUGUCACUUGUCGAAGUUUUUUGGUCUAAUUAAACAUUUUUGCUGUUUCCUUUCGGACACUAUACAUCCGUUUCAAAGUUGUUUAGUCCAAUUAAACAUUUCUACGUGUCUAUGAGUCUUUAAUGAAUUUGAGUGUAAACUAUUAUCUAAACAUAGGAUCUUUUUCUCAGUUUUUUGGGUUUUAUGUAUAAUUUAUGUCCCCUGCUUUUCAGGGGCUGGAAAAUAGUCAUUGGAUGGUUUUCUUCUCAGUAGUCAUUCUUGUGUAACGAUUUGGUGACUAAUCUAUGGUUGAUUAGAGUUUCUUUCUUCUGAUAAAUUGCAACAUUAUGCCUGAUACAUUUUGUUUUUCCAUUAUUCUCUCCUCCAUGAAAUGUCCAAGGAAAUUAUGGUUUGAUAUUCCGCGAAGUAUUUCUGUUUAGCUUGCAAGGCUGGUGUUGGCUUCAUGAGAUAUUUUCUGCACUUCAUAUUUCUCAGAUAUAUUUUUCUACUCACACAAUCAAUGACCUAUUUGGCAAUGUUUAUUGUAGAUAGAUUAAAAUGCUUGGAGUGAAAUUAUAAAUCACCAUUCUUUGAGAUAACUAAUAUUGUUAGAUUUAAAAAGGUUUGUUGCUGAUUAUUGCUUUUCUGCAUUUAUAUGAUUAUGUGUUGUAUUUUCUUAUUAGUCACAAUCUUCAUAGCCAAUCUCAUUUGGCCAUUGUCAUGGAGUAUGAAUCUGGAGAAGAUCUUUUUGAGUGAAUAUGCAAUGCUGGACGCUUUAGUGAGGAUGAGGUUUGCUUCUUUUUUCAACUGCUUAUAUUUGGAGUUAGCUAUUGUAUUCGAUGAAAAUAUAUCAUAGGGACUUGAAGCUGGGAAACACACUAUUGGAUGGAAACCCUGCUCCAAGGCUCAAAAUUUGUGAUUUUAGGUAAUCUAAGAUUGUAGAUGUAUGGUCCUGUGGGGUCACUUUAUAUGAAAUGCAGUGGGUUCCUAUCCAUUUGAGGAUCCUGAAGAACCUAAGGACUUUCGAAAAACAAUUCAGAGAAUCUUACGUGUUCAGUGUUCCAUUCCAGAACAAAUUCAAAUUUCUGAGGAAUGUCGACAGUUACAAAUUGCAAAUGGGCAUCAUUCGCCCCGAAUUCAAGUUUGCUUUGGAGGCUCUUUUAAAGGCAAAUCCUAUUGGAGCUAUUUCCUCGGGGUUCAAAUUGGCGAUUUUACUACGGUCAAAUGCAAUUUUAAUUUCUUCAAUUUCUCAUAUAACUUGUAACAUCAUCAUAAACUGGUUUCGGUACACGAUUUAUAUCUAAUUAUUAUCUUAACAUGUAGGCCAAGAACAACUCUCUCCGGGCUCGCCUUGAUAGCCACAUUUCAUGAGAGUAAAUCCCAUCUUCGAUUAGACAUACAGGUUUAUUUUGCCGUGGAAAUUAGCAUUUGAGAUGGUAGUAUGCAUGUAUAUUUGUCGAGUAAUAGGACUGUCUUAUUUUUGUGAAAAGAUAAUUGAUGUAUCCCGUCCAUUGCAGUGGGUUUAGUGUUUGGGUUCCAGUGUCAAACCUUUGAUUGGUUUUCUACAUUACAUUUGCUUGGGACCUGUGCCACAUUUAUUCCUUCACCCCUUUUUGGGAAAAAACUCAAAAUUCAACUCU